AGAGAUGCACUGGGUUUAAAGCGUGCGCAGGCGGUUUUGUAAGACAGAGGUGAAAUCCCGGGCUCAACCUGGGAACUGCCUUUGUGACUGCAAGGCUGGAGUGCGGCAGAGGGGGAUGGAAUUCCGCGUGUAGCAGUGAAAUGCGUAGAUAUGCGGAGGAACACCGAUGGCGAAGGCAAUCCCCUGGGCCUGCACUGACGCUCAUGCACGAAAGCGUGGGGAGUAAACA
rnacentral:rRNA from 1 species